rnacentral:rRNA from 1 species
AUCCUACGGGGGGCAGCAGUAGGGAAUAUUGCUCAAUGGGGGAAACCCUGAAGCAGCAACGCCGCGUGGAGGAUGAAGGUUUUAGGAUUGUAAACUCCUUUUGUAAGAGAAGAUUAUGACGGUAUCUUACGAAUAAGCACCGGCUAACUCCGUGCCAGCAGCCGCGGUAAUACGGAGGGUGCAAGCGUUACUCGGAAUCACUGGGCGUAAAGAGCGCGUAGGCGGGUGGUCAAGUCAGAUGUGAAUCC